rnacentral:rRNA from 1 species
AUACGGAGGGUGCAAGCGUUAUUCGGAAUCACUGGGCGUAAAGGACGCGUAGGCGGGUUGGCAAGUCAGAUGUGAAAUCCUACAGCUUAACUGUAGAACUGCAUUUGAAACUGCUAACCUAGAGUAUGGGAGGGGGAGAUGGAAUUAGUGGUGUAGGGGUAAAAUCCGUAGAUAUCACUAGGAAUACCGAAAGCGAAGGCGAUCUCCUGGAACACAACUGACGCUAAGGCGUGAAAGCGUGGGGAGCAAACAGGAUUAGAAACCCUAGUAGUCC